AGUCGAGGGGCAGCAUUUUAGUUUGCUUGCAAACUAAAGAUGGCGACCGGCGCACGGGUGAGUAACACGUAUCCAACCUGCCGAUAACUCGGGGAUAGCCUUUCGAAAGAAAGAUUAAUAUCCGAUAGUAUAUUAAAACCGCAUGGUUUUACUAUUAAAGAAUUUCGGUUAUCGAUGGGGAUGCGUUCCAUUAGUUUGUUGGCGGGGUAACGGCUCACCAAGCCUUCGAUGGAUAGGGGUUCUGAGAGGAAGGUCCCCCACAUUGGAACUGAGACACGGUCCAAACUCCUACGGGAGGCAGCAGUGAGGAAUAUUGGUCAAUGGACGAGAGUCUGAACCAGCCAAGUAGCGUGAAGGAUGACUGCCCUAUGGGUUGUAAACUUCUUUUAUAUGGGAAUAAAGUAUUCCACGUGUGGAAUUUUGUAUGUACCAUAUGAAUAAGGAUCGGCUAACUCCGUGCCAGCAGCCGCGGUAAUACGGAGGAUCCGAGCGUUAUCCGGAUUUAUUGGGUUUAAA
rnacentral:rRNA from 1 species